UUAUCCAGCACCCUCUUUUCUCUCUUUCGUCUCUCUGAAUGGCUUUUUUGUCUGUUUAUCGCCUUCCCCUCGACGAUGGUAACACCUACGGAUCAAACAUAUAAUUAUUUUUAGGGAAAGGUGAUGUAGUGCUUCAAAGAUGUCCGAGUCUCGAAAUAAUUGUAGCAACAAACCUUUCUCAGAAAAUAAUCAAGAGAAGCAUAUAUGAUUGUAUCAGAACCGUAUUUUUCAAUUUCUCAUAUGAUAUCUAGGGUUUUUGAUUCGUUGUUAUUUCGAUUUGUGGAUUUCCUCCGGAUCUGAUAGAAUUCGUGUAUUUGGUUUAGGCAAAAUUAGUGUAUUUUCGAAAUUGGGGUUCUGUGGGAUUAGCAAACUUUUGGAUCCUGUAGAGGAAGACCUAAUCGGUAGAUGUGAUCUGGCAAUCGGAACUGUGAAAAUACAUGUAACGAGUUGUGUAGCUGACUCCGCACAACUAUAAAUUUUCUGACCACCUAAUUGUAAAAUGGAUGGGGUAGCCUAAGUUUUCCAAGUUUAUCUUGGUUCAGUAACAAUAUUUUGAAACAAUAUGGCAACCAACGUAACCAGCAAUAGCAUAACAAAAGUUGACAUGGUUAUUAGCUUAAACACUCAGCUUACUCGAAGGCUCCAUCGACACCAUGAAUAUUCCUCUUUAGGGUCCAAUCAGUUAACUCACCGGUGCACACAUGAACAACACUAACAUGCUGAAAAUGAUAAUCAAUAGCCGCCGUCACCAUCACUACCGCCAGACCCGUUUUAGUGAAAUACUCGAUGGAGCAGUUUCAAAGCUCUAUCUUCUUACGAGCAACAACAGGUUGCUGCUCUUACCCUUCUAUGUCUGAGAAAGCUAAGGAUGGUGAAUAUUUACUCCUCUGUAAAGCCAAUAUGCACUUCAAAAUCGAGGAGGAGACAUACCUUAGACUGGAGAAUUUCAAUCUCAUUCAUUCUAAUUGGGAAACUGAAUUUAUCUAGCCAGGUAUUUUCUUCUCUUUCAUCUUCAGAUUUCAGUGGAUUUAGAGUUAAAUUAGUUUUUACCAAAGUCGGUUUUUAAUCAACACAAAUGACACUCCAGAGAGAUUUUGGGUGUGUACAGUUUAAUGGUUUUCCAUACCUGUAUAUGUUUAGUGUUGUUCAGGAUCAAAAAGUACUUUAAAUAGUGUAAUAAGUCGUGAAAUGAUGUCUCUUCAAAUUGGAUCUUUUAGCUUCCCUCGCUUUGGGUUUAAUGUCUUUCUACUAUUCAAGUGGUCUUUAUUGAUGAAGUUAGUUUCGUCUCUGUGAAACAUUGCACAGUUUUCGGUAAUGAGCAAAUUCUCUGUUCAUUCAUGUAAAUCAUGUCAUAGAUUUAUCUGGCGUGGAUUUUUUUUUUAUCUGCCUUCAAAAAAUGGUGUUGUUUUAGCCCCUUCAUGCGAGCUCUACUAUUUGUAUGCAAAUCCAUUACUCUUUUUCAAAAUUUAUGCUUUUCGAUUUGCUCACAUACUCAAACUUAAUUUACACUUUAAAUACCAUUAGGUACUAGAAAAUUUGUCGUAAGGGAGAAGAUGGUGGUGAUUACAUAGCCCUGUAUCUGUACUGACAUAGAUGUAGCUGCGUUCUUGCCUUACGUGAAGGAAAUUGACCUUAAUUAAUCAAAAACUAUCAAUAGAUGAAAAAUAGUAGAAAAAUCACUGUCACUGUUAUAUCUGAAUCGAGGUACUGAUCUAGGUUUUGGGUGAAUCAUUAUGUCAUUUCUCUUUCUUUGAACCUGAUAUUGUAGGCAUUGGCAGUAAUUCUAUCUGCAAGCUACUGAUCUAGCCUAUAUACGUGUUAUUAUUUUGUAAUUUUUCGAUUCUAAUUGAUUUACAUGUUGAUUUAGCAGUACACGAGUUUUAUUUGCAGUUAUUGGCUGUAACAAACAUUAUUUAUUGCUGAGGUGAAGUAAGUCAUAGAUUAGGGACUUAACUAGGUUAUUAAUGUCAUACUACAAAGAGUUUAGUAGUGUUUAUGCAUUUGCAUUGGGUUGGUAGCUCAAAAACAGAAAUCUGCUCCGAGGGAUUCUUACAACGCAGGUCCGGCAAUCCCAGGUUAUGUAAGUCAUGUAGGUGGAGAGAAAUUGCACGUUCUAAUGUUCGUGAACAAGAUAAAUGUUUGGAGUGAAGGAAAAACGUAUUUAGAACUAUGUGCUGAUUCAGAGACUCCGUCUCAGUAUCCAAGUAAGGAUGACGCCAAAGUGGAUGAAAGAGAGAUUACAACACUUGAGAAACAAAAUGCGGGUGAUUCUGCAAAGCAAACAAAGGGAAUGUCUUAGGAAGAAAGGCGAGAAAUACAAUGCAGGUAUAUAAUCAAUGGAUGACAUGUGAUCAAAUGGCCAUUGGUUUAUCACCAACCUCAAAUUUUCAGCACUUCUCUCAACUCAUUCCGUGGUUCAAAAGGAUAUUGUGACAUUUUUAAUGAUGUAUCACCAACCUUUUCAUAGCGGCGUAUGUUCUGAUGUACGUAUUAUUUUGUUUCACCAUAUAAUGUUCAUUUCUUUCUUUGAAAGUUAUUUUGUCUGCGAGCUUCACGGGUCCCGAUCUUUAAACCAAACAAAAGACUUAUGAAUGCUCUCAGACUUGAGUGCAAACUGGAAAGACACGAACUUUCCUGAUAUUCAGCAUGGAAACAAAGACGCAAACAAGUAUUUGUCGGGACCAAAGAACUUUAUCUUGGCACAUCCGGCAAUGUAGAAACGAAAAUGGCUUUAAGAACAUUGCAGAUAGUAGCUUCCCAAUGUGAAGAAACUAUUUUUCUAUUUCCCCCGUAUCUAUCUGUAGGAUGAUUACAAAGAGUAUGUGAAGUUCAGAAGGUGGACAUCAUGGAUCACCCACCACCUUUUAUAGCUGGAUUUAGUGAGGGGUGUGGGUGAACGAAAUAUGGGUCUGUAGGUGAUGCAAUCAAGAAAAUAUGAGUUGGGGGUUUUCUGGAUUUAGCCAACAACAACUUAAAGCUCUAUUUGUGCAGGACUGCAGAUCAUACAAAACUGACUGGGGAGUUUCAUAGGAAACGGUACUUCAUUGACGUUUUUGAGGUAUCAGUAGGAAGUUACCCAACUGUAGAUAUAGUUGGUCUUUGUUAUUGUACAGUUGUGCUUAGUCUUGCAUUAUAUAUAUACUACCAUCCACAAUUUGGUUUGAGACGAACUGUUUGAAUAAAUGCAUUGAACAUUACUGUCUUAUUAUCCCAAAGUUGGUCUUUGGGUAUCAGUAGGAAGUUACCCAACUGUAGAUAUAGUUGGUCUUUGUUAUUGUACAGUUGUGCUUAGUCUUGCAUUAUAUAUAUACUACCAUCCACAAUUUGGUUUGAGACAAACUGUUUGAAUAAAUGCCUUGAACAUUACUGUCUUAUUAUCCCAAAGUUGGUCUUUGGGUAUCAGUAGGAAGUUACCCAACUGUAGAUAUAGUUGGUCUUUGUUAUUGUACAGUUGUGCUUAGUCUUGCAUUAUAUAUAUACUACCAUCCACAAUUUGGUUUGAGACAAA